GAUGAACGCUGGCGGCGUGCCUAAUACAUGCAAGUCGAGCGAACGGACGAGAAGCUUGCUUCUCUGAUGUUAGCGGCGGACGGGUGAGUAACACGUGGAUAACCUACCUAUAAGACUGGGAUAACUUCGGGAAACCGGAGCUAAUACCGGAUAAUAUUUUGAACCGCAUGGUUCAAAAGUGAAAGACGGUUUUGCUGUCACUUAUAGAUGGAUCCGCGCUGCAUUAGCUAGUUGGUAAGGUAACGGCUUACCAAGGCAACGAUGCAUAGCCGACCUGAGAGGGUGAUCAGCCACACUGGAACUGAGACACGGUCCAGACUCCUACGGGAGGCAGCAGUGGGGAAUCUUCCGCAAUGGGCGAAAGCCUGACGGAGCAACGCCGCGUGAGUGAUGAAGGUCUUCGGAUCGUAAAACUCUGUUAGUAGGGAAGAACAGAUGUGUAAGUAACUGUGCACAUCUUGACGGUACCUAAUCAGAAAGCCACGGCUAACUACGUG
rnacentral:rRNA from 1 species